rnacentral:rRNA from 1 species
UGCCUGAUGGAGGGGGAUAACUACUGGAAACGGUAGCUAAUACCGCAUAACGUCGCAAGACCAAAGAGGGGGACCCUCGGGCCUCUUGCCAUCGGAUGUGCCCAGAUGGGAUUAGCUUGUUGGUGGGGUAACGGCUCACCAAGGCGACGAUCCCUAGCUGGUCUGAGAGGAUGACCAGCCACACUGGAACUGAGACACGGUCCAGACUCCUACGGGAGGCAGCAGUGGGGAAUAUUGCACAAUGGGCGCAAGCCUGAUGCAGCCAUGCCGCGUGUAUGAAGAAGGCCUUCGGGUUGUAAAGUACUUUCAGCGGGGAGGAAGGGAGUAAAGUUAAUACCUUUGCUCAUUGACGUUACCCGCAGAAGAAGCACCGGCUAACUCCGUGCCAGCAGCCGCGGUAAUACGGAGGGUGCAAGCGUUAAUCGGAAUUACUGGGCGUAAAGCGCACGCAGGCGGUUUGUUAAGUCAGAUGUGAAAUCCCCGGGCUCAACCUGGGAACUGCAUCUGAUACUGGCAAGCUUGAGUCUCGUAGAGGGGGGUAGAAUUCCAGGUGUAGCGGUGAAAUGCGUAGAGAUCUGGAGGAAUACCGGUGGCGAAGGCGGCCCCCUGGACGAAGACUGACGCUCAGGUGCGAAAGCGUGGGGAGCAAACAGGAUUAGAUACCCUGGUAGUCCACGCCGUAAACGAUGUCGACUUGGAGGUUGUGCCCUUGAGGCGUGGCUUCCGGAGCUAACGCGUUAAGUCGACCGCCUGGGGAGUACGGCCGCAAGGUUAAAACUCAAAUGAAUUGACGGGGGCCCGCACAAGCGGUGGAGCAUGUGGUUUAAUUCGAUGCAACGCGAAGAACCUUACCUGGUCUUGACAUCCACAGAACUUUCCAGAGAUGGAUUGGUGCCUUCGGGAGCUGUGAGACAGGUGCUGCAUGGCUGUCGUCAGCUCGUGUUGUGAAAUGUUGGGUUAAGUCCCGCAACGAGCGCAACCCUUAUCCUUUGUUGCCAGCGGUCCGGCCGGGAACUCAAAGGAGACUGCCAGUGAUAAACUGGAGGAAGGUGGGGAUGACGUCAAGUCAUCAUGGCCCUUACGACCAGGGCUACACACGUGCUACAAUGGCGCAUACAAAGAGAAGCGACCUCGCGAGAGCAAGCGGACCUCAUAAAGUGCGUCGUAGUCCGGAUUGGAGUCUGCAACUCGACUCCAUGAAGUCGGAAUCGCUAGUAAUCGUGGAUCAGAAUGCCACGGUGAAUACGUUCCCGGGCCUUGUACACACCGCCCGUCACACCAUGGGAGUGGGUUGCAAAAGAAGUAGGUAGCUUAACCUUCGGGAGGGCGCUUACCACUUUGUGAUUCAUGACUGGGGUGAAGUCGUAACAAGGUAACCGUAGGGGAACCUGCGGUUGGAUCACCUCCUUACCUUAAAGAAGC